ensembl:lincRNA 4933406K04Rik RIKEN cDNA 4933406K04 gene
AACUGAUUUCCUCAGGGAGACCAACAUCUCAUUCAAACCACGGCAGCCUGCAAAAGCUAGGCUUCGUUCUUAUGUGUGUGUCCAGGAUCUUUCGUGGGCCCAAAGAGCUGGAGCGGGUCUUUACUGACUUACCGCUGGUAUUUGCCACAGAAGCAGAAGCGAAGGACCAAGACAUCUUACAGAAGAAAGGGUUUACAGUUCCAGAGUGAUGAGCAUUCAUGGUGACAGAGUUGAAGCAUAAAGCAUGACAGCAGGUGACAGGCAAGACUACACAAGGAGGAAACUGAGAGUUCACACUUGACAAAGCAGAGAAUGGGAAUUGGAGUGUAAACUGAAGACCAGAAGCUGACCUUUGGAGACAUCUAGUCCAGCAGAGCAGCUGCUGCAUUCUCAGUAUCUUCAACGUGAGACAACCAUGUCGGAAAACCCAACCCAUAUCACUUUCAGGUUCUGAUGUCGCCAUCUGGCCUAAGGCCCCUGCAUGCACUGGUGCUACUGCGUAUAAACUCACAUAAGCGCACGCAAACACAUAAAAACAAGAUAAAGUUUCACAUCGAAACAUUCGCACCACAGCAUGGACGCUUCUCUCUGCACUUGGACAUAUUUUCAGUGGAAUGAGAAUACAGACAAAAAGAGUCAGAUGCUCCUGUCAAUGCCUGCCUGUGGAUGCCAUCACCUCCGUCGGCCACGAGUUCACGGGAAGCAGAUCCCUGAUCAUCUCACACCUCACCACGGUCGUCUAGGCUAGAUGAAAGAGCUCUUCUGCCUUGAAAGAUCUCCCGAGUGUGUGUCAGCCACCCGUGAGUCCAAAGCCUUCACAGUACUUACCAACAGGUACUCGGCAAAGAUUCUGCCUGCAGCCCGAAACUGAGCAAGCUCUCUCUUAGUCUAUGCCUGUAUCACAACCUAAUCAUCCCAGCGACGACCACCUCCCACUCCCCUCGCAGAGUGCCCACUCGCUUAAAACGCACUGGCUGUAAUGUUUAUUACCCAAUGAGGACACCAGUGUUAUUGAUAGCAGCAAUAAGGAUGCCAUCAAACAUGAAUGCUCACAUUCAGCAAGG